rnacentral:rRNA from 1 species
CCUACGGGGUGCAGCAGUGGGGAAUAUUGCACAAUGGGGGAAACCCUGAUGCAGCGACGCCGCGUGAGUGAAGGAGUAUUUCGGUAUGUAAAGCUCUAUCAGCAGGGAAGAAAAUGAAGGUACCUGAUUAAGAAGCCCCGGCUAACUACGUGCCAGCAGCCGCGGGAAUACGUAGGGGGCAAGCGUUAUCCGGAUUUACUGGGUGUAAAGGGAGCGUAGGCGGCAGCACAAGUCUGGAGUGAAAUGCCGGGGCUUAACCCCGGAACUGCUUUGGAAACUGGGCAGCUUGAGUGCAGGAGAGGUAAGUGGAAUGCCUGGUGUAGCGGUGAAAUGCGUAGAUAUUAGGAGGAACACCAGUGGCGAAGGCGGCUUACUGGACUGUAACUGACGUUGAGGCUCGAAAGCGUGGGGAGCAAACAGGAUUAGAUACCCCAGUAGUC